AACAUUCAACGCUGUCGGUGAGUUUUUAGAUUUAAAAGAAACCAUCGACCGUUGACUGUGCC
ensembl:miRNA mdo-mir-181a-2 mdo-mir-181a-2